CAAAGUUUGAUCCCAGCACAGACGUUUGGUAUACAAAACAAUUAUAUUUUGGCUGUGUUUUUAUACUGGAAAUAUUUUAAUAAAUUUAUAAUUUUGGCAUGUAUUUGCCUGUUGAAGGUUGAUAUUAAAAGACUAUGGCUAGUCAAGGCGACAAAACGACUGGAAAAGAUGAAGGCGAAGUGAAAUCUACGCCGUCAAACCAAGAGGUCGCACCGCCGUUGGUUUCUAGUACGAAAGGUACAAAGCUUUGUAUUUUAUAUUUUCUACUGUUUUGUUUCCUUUCUUGGCGAUAUUUUAUGAGAAAAUGUUCUUGUUUAAGGCUUACUUCAAUUGUCAAAGCAGGAAACUUCUUAGUUUGGCGAAAAUUUGAUCGUUGACGUUUCACUAUAGACUGUAGUUGACUGCUCAUAUUUUAUUAUUGUUGAGAAACUAUCCCUGUUUGGGACACCGUGGCGUGUAUAAAAUAAUGAGAAACGGCUACAAGUCUUCAAAGAUAUGAUAACCAAGCUUUUGAGAUUUUUAAAGCCUAUAUUAAUGUAUUGUUAUUUAAAAUUGAUGCCUGGUUUAGGGGCUGAUUUAAUGAUUUAUACAUGGAGAGUUUUCAGCCUGGUUUCCCGGGGCUGAAAUUUCAGCCCGGCCUAACUGAUAAAAUGCUAUUAAAACACAGCAAGUGAUUACAUGACCAAAAUUCCAGCCCGGACUGAGUUUGCCCGGGCUGAGUUUGCCCGGGCUGAGUUUGCCCGGGCUGAAACUCAGCCUGCCUACAUGUAGUCCUGAUGCAAUUUCAGCUUGUUUAACCGGGCUGAAACUCGGCCUGGGCUGAAAACUCUCCAUGUAUAAUUCAGCCCCUUAACUCGAGUUUUGGUUUGUAUUCAACAGGCGAAGAGACUGGCAAACAUCGGAAAAGGAGAGGACAGUUAGCACAAAAAGACUCUAGGCCUAUCCAGCCUUCUGGCCCUGUUCAACCUGUAAGUUGUUGUACAAACUUUUAUUUUCAUUGUGUGUAUAUUUGGUGUUUAUGAA